GCCCGGCGCGGUGGUGCGCGCCUAUAGUCAUAGCUACUCUGGAGGCUGAGGCAGGAGGAUCGCUUGAGUCCAGGAGUUCUGGGCUGCAGUGCGCUAUGCCGAUCGGGUGUCUGCACUAAGUUCGGCAUCAAUAUGGUGACCUCCCGGGAGCGGGGGACCACCAGGUUGCCUAAGGAGGGGUGAACCGGCCCAGGUCGGAAAUGGCAGUUGGUCUGUUGGGCCACCACCCUUUGACCUCCCUUUCUGUCCCUGUUCUGGGUGGAAGUGAUGGUCUUCCAUU
rnacentral:SRP_RNA from 1 species